rnacentral:rRNA from 1 species
AGAGUUUGAUCCUGGCUCAGAUUGAACGCUGGCGGCAUGCUUUACACAUGCAAGUCGAACGGUAACAGGGAGCUUGCUCCGCUGACGAGUGGCGAACGGGUGAGUAAUGCAUCGGAACGUGCCUAUUUGUGGGGGAUAACGUAGCGAAAGUUACGCUAAUACCGCAUACGCCCUGAGGGGGAAAGCGGGGGAUUCGUAAGAACCUCGCGCAAUUAGAGUGGCCGAUGUCGGAUUAGCUAGUUGGUGGGGUAAAGGCUCACCAAGGCGACGAUCCGUAGCGGGUCUGAGAGGAUGAUCCGCCACACUGGGACUGAGACACGGCCCAGACUCCUACGGGAGGCAGCAGUGGGGAAUUUUGGACAAUGGGCGAAAGCCUGAUCCAGCCAUGCCGCGUGAGUGAAGAAGGCCUU